ACCCGCACAAGCAGCGGAGCGUGUGGUUAAUUCGAGGCUACACGAAGAACCUUACCAGGGUUUGACAUGCAAGUGGUAGGAAUCCGAAAGGUGACCGACCCUUCGGGGAGCUUGCACAGGUGCUGCAUGGCUGUCGUCAGCUCGUGUCGUGAGAUGUUCGGUUAAGUCCGCUAACGAGCGCAACCCUCGUCGUGUGUUAUACGUGUCACACGAUACUGCCGGUAUCAAGCCGGAGGAAGGUGGGGAUGAUGUCAAGUCAGCAUGGCCUUUAUAUCCUGGGCUACACACACGCUACAAUGGCAGAUACAAUAGGUUGCGAAACCGCGAGGUGGAGCCAAUCCUCAAAGUCUGUCUCAGUUCAGAUUGUAGGCUGCAACUCGCCUGCAUGAAGUUGGAGUUGCUAGUAAACGCAGGUCAGCUAUACUGCGUUGAAUACGUUCCCGGGGUUU
rnacentral:rRNA from 1 species